rnacentral:tRNA from 1 species
UGCGGGAUGGAGCAGUCUGGUAGCUCGUCGGGCUCAUAACCCGAAGGUCGUUGGUUCAAAUCAGGCUCCCGCUA